AUGCUCACUUCAGCAGCACAUAUACUAAAACUGGAACACUACAGAGAAGAUGAGCAUGGCCCCUGCGCAAGGAUGGCACACAAACUGAUAAAACGCUCCAUAUUAUA